rnacentral:rRNA from 1 species
CCUACGGGGGGCAGCAGUAGGGAAUUUUUCACAAUGGGCGAAAGCCUGAUGGAGCAACGCCGCGUGCAGGAUGAAGGCCUUCGGGUUGUAAACUGCUUUUAUAAGCGAGAAAUAUGAUGGUAACUUAUGAAUAAGGAUCGGCUAACUACGUGCCAGCAGCCGCGGUCAUACGUAGGAUCCGAGCAUUAUCCGGAGUGACUGGGUGUAAAGAGUUGCGUAGGUGGCAUAAUAAGUAGCUAGUGAAAUCGGGUGGCUCAACCAUUCAGACUAUUAGCUAAACUGUUAAGCUCGAGACCGUUAGGGGUAACUGGAAUGUCUAGUGUAGGAGUGAAAUCCGUAGAUAUUAGAAGGAACACCAAUAGCGUAGGCAGGUUACUGGGACGGUUCUGACACUAAGGCACGAAAGCGUAGGGAGCAAACGGGAUUAGAUACCCGAGUAGUC